rnacentral:rRNA from 1 species
CAUAGGUUAAUGAGGCGAACCGGGGGAACUGAAACAUCUAAGUACCCCGAGGAAAAGAAAUCAACCGAGAUUCCCCCAGUAGCGGCGAGCGAACGGGGAGCAGCCCAGAGCCUGAAUCAGUAUGUGUGUUAGUGGAAGCGUCUGGAAAGGCGCGCGAUACAGGGUGACAGCCCCGUACACAAAAAUGCACAUGCUGUGAGCUCGAUGAGUAGGGCGGGACACGUGGUAUCCUGUCUGAAUAUGGGGGGACCAUCCUCCAAGGCUAAAUACUCCUGACUGACCGAUAGUGAACCAGUACCGUGAGGGAAAGGCGAAAAGAACCCCGGCGAGGGGAGUGAAAAAGAACCUGAAACCGUGUACGUACAAGCAGUGGGAGCACGCUUAGGCGUGUGACUGCGUACCUUUUGUAUAAUGGGUCAGCGACUUAUAUUCUGUAGCAAGGUUAACCGAAUAGGGGAGCCGAAGGGAAACCGAGUCUUAACUGGGCGUUAAGUUGCAGGGUAUAGACCCGAAACCCGGUGAUCUAGCCAUGGGCAGGUUGAAGGUUGGGUAACACUAACUGGAGGACCGAACCGACUAAUGUUGAAAAAUUAGCGGAUGACUUGUGGCUGGGGGUGAAAGGCCAAUCAAACCGGGAGAUAGCUGGUUCUCCCCGAAAGCUAUUUAGGUAGCGCCUCGUGAAUUCAUCUCCGGGGGUAGAGCACUGUUUCGGCAAGGGGGUCAUCCCGACUUACCAACCCGAUGCAAACUGCGAAUACCGGAGAAUGUUAUCACGGGAGACACACGGCGGGUGCUAACGUCCGUCGUGAAGAGGGAAACAACCCAGACCGCCAGCUAAGGUCCCAAAGUCAUGGUUAAGUGGGAAACGAUGUGGGAAGGCCCAGACAGCCAGGAUGUUGGCUUAGAAGCAGCCAUCAUUUAAAGAAAGCGUAAUAGCUCACUGGUCGAGUCGGCCUGCGCGGAAGAUGUAACGGGGCUAAACCAUGCACCGAAGCUGCGGCAGCGACGCUGAUGCGUUGUUGGGUAGGGGAGCGUUCUGUAAGCCUGCGAAGGUGUGCUGUGAGGCAUGCUGGAGGUAUCAGAAGUGCGAAUGCUGACAUAAGUAACGAUAAAGCGGGUGAAAAGCCCGCUCGCCGGAAGACCAAGGGUUCCUGUCCAACGUUAAUCGGGGCAGGGUGAGUCGACCCCUAAGGCGAGGCCGA